UAAGCCUUAUCCUACUUCAAGGAAUG
rnacentral:piRNA from 1 species